CAAAAAAUCGCGGGCAGAUCGCGUGGUAAUACGGCGGGUGCGAACUGUAAUCGGAAUUACUGUACUUAAAUCAUUGGCAGUCUGCGUAUUAAUAUAGAUGUGAAAACCCUAGGCUCAAACUUGGAAAUUCAGUUGAAACUAAUAAACGAGAGGUUCGUAGAGGGUGUGAUAAUUCCAGGUGUAGCGGUGAAAUGCGUAGAUAUCUGGAGGAAUACCAGUGGCGAAGGCGACCUCCUGGACGAAAACUGACGCUCAAGCACGAAAGCAUGGGGAGCAAACAGGAUUAGAUACCCCAGUAGUC
rnacentral:rRNA from 1 species